AGAGUUUGAUCAUGGCUCAGAACGAACGCUGGCGACAGGCCUAACACAUGCAAGUCGAACGCUCGUAGCAAUACGAGAGUGGCAGACGGGUGAGUAACACGUGGGAACCUUCCCUUUGGUUCGGAAUAGCUCAGGGAAACUUGAGGUAAUACCGGAUAAGCCCUUACGGGGAAAGAUUUAUCGCCAUAGGAUGGGCCCGCGUCGGAUUAGCUAGUUGGUGAGGUAACGGCUCACCAAGGCGACGAUCCGUAGCUGGUCUGAGAGGAUGAUCAGCCACACUGGGACUGAGACACGGCCCAGACUCCUACGGGAGGCAGCAGUGGGGAAUAUUGGACAAUGGGCGCAAGCCUGAUCCAGCCAUGCCGCGUGAGUGACGAAGGCCUUAGGGUUGUAAAGCUCUUUUGGCGGGGAAGAUAAUGACGGUACCCGCAGAAUAAGCUCCGGCUAACUUCGUGCCAGCAGCCGCGGUAAUUC
rnacentral:rRNA from 1 species